ensembl:lncRNA
UCACCAUGCUAACGACAGGAACCACAGCCACUUAGUCUUGGCUUGCCAUGGACCUAGAACUGAGCUUCAUAUCUGCUGCCCCUGACUGUCAACAACAAGGAUGGGAAGUCAGAAGCCAGGUGAGGACAAGGAUCCUUGGACACAGCAGGGAGAGGAUAGGGAUGAGAUUCAAAAGACAGGCCCACCUCUCCCGUAUUGUGUGCAAGCAUACAUUGGUAACCUGGUCCUGGAGUCAAGAGCCAUGGAACCUGUGUGUGAGAGGGAGCUACAAAGGGGAGUUAAAGUAGAAAGUCUCUCCCAAGAGGACAGCUGUAACUUGUUCCCUGGAAGAAGGCUCUGGCUUUGACAAUGACCUUGGCCAUGUGAACUUUGCUUUAUGGUCAUGCAAGCUCAGGGGAUAAGCCAGCUGAGCCUGGCUCCUCGUCUGCCUUGAAUACUGAUCAGUGGGUUGCUUUGUACAAACUACAAUGCCUCGUUCACUCCCCUCUCACCUCAGCAGUUGCUGUACCAUUCUGGGGCCAUUCUCUGAGGCCAAGAGCCCUGUGCUACUGAAGGAGAUCACAGUCUUGGUCACUGACUUAGCUCCAGGUUGUGUCCUUCCCCAACACAUCCCUUUUGUGAUAUGAGAGGUAGGACCACUGCCAUCAGUACCUCUGGGCAAUGUCCUUGCAGAGCAGAGCAGUUAGAAGGGAAGGUGAACCCUCCUCCUUGAAGAGCUUAGAGUUUCCCUGAAGUCCUCCUUUGAAAGCAAGGUGGGCACAACAGGGAUCACAGUCAUGUGGGGCCUAAGGGAAGGUUCCAUGGGGUUUGACAAACCUCAACAAGUCAGCCCAAGGUUUCUGGGCUCGGAGUGGCCCAGGACUUUACCAGUCUCUCAGAGAGCAAUAUCAGGCACAAGUCCAUGGGGUUUGGCACUCUGGUCUCAGGGUGGCCGGGAAUACUUGUUACUAGUUAGAUCUUUUGUUCUUUCAGGCAAGAAUGAUGGCUAGUAGGCUCCUGCCCGCCCCCCUACACUCGAGAAUGAAGAGCCUGUGAGAGAAAUUUUCCCAAGAAGUAGAAAAGGCAUGGCGGUGGAAGCCCUGUUCCCAGAACUAACUGAGCUUCCCAACAGACAGAAGCCAGAGAGUCCCUAGCCUAGAGACAUUUUCUGAAGACCUGUGGAAAAGGAAAAAAAGCGGGCUGUCCCCUGCAGCAUGCCUCCAAGGGGCCGAGAGACAACACCUAGAGCACCAGCCAGGAGAAAAGGCUGCCUCUCCCUUCAGACAACCCCCAAAGUAUGUCAUCCAGCAUCAAGGCCACCACAGUCACCAUGAAGCAAGGGUCUUCUGGGGACCCUGGAAUCUUGGCAAAAGCAGGGAAGCCAGCCGCAGCCCCAGUGCGCAUGUGCGCGGAGCGUCUGUCUCCCAGCCUGAGGUGCAGUGCUGCAUCUCUGGUCAGUUGGGAGUCUGAGAUGAAGCACUGUAGCUCAGGAAGGGAGAAGUUGUUCUGCAGCCAUCACCAGGACGUGGUAAGUGUUGAUGUGGGGUAGCAGGCCCGGAUAGGUUAGACUCCACUCCAGCAGUCCAUGGUGAUAUUCCUUGGCUCAAGCUGCACCAGUGCUGACCACUCAUGUGCACCUGUAACUGUACACUCUGGUCCAUUCGGUGGCAGCGGUACUGACACGUAGAAGACAGUGCUAAUGUAAAAAGAUAUGGCUCCUUUAAGAAACUCUGUCGUACAUCUAUCCAUUCUGAAGGGGUUCCAACACACCCUCAGAAUCCAUCUCAACACUGCAGACUCAAAUACCCACUAUAAAUGAUUCUUGACUGAAACCCAUUGAAUCCCUGUAGAUCAUCAGACAAUCCCUAACAGCUCUUCCAUCCCAGAGGUAGUGUCCCAGGGUCCUGGCAGCCCAACACUGUCAUGCUGCAGCAUCAAAAUGUUGCACAUUCCUGUUAGGCGUGGAGUCACAGUCUUCACUCUUUGACCCUCUAACUCUGCCUCUGUGCUAUUGCCUAAACUAGCCAAGGCAUUUCACAAAUGUCUACCCUGGCCCAGAGGCUUCAGAGAAGCAAGGGGCAGCAGAUGAGCACCACAGAGGAAGGUGACCCACUUCACAGGUGAGAAAACUAAGCCUUAGUUAAGUGGCUGACCUUAGGUCACAUAUGGACAUGCUGGGGUCCACCUUCUUAUCCACUGUGAGACUGUGGAUAAACCCCAGUCUGCUAUGGUAACAGAGGCAGGACCACACACUUCUAAGAGUCCCGUGGUCUCUCUUCAUGCUAUCUCCUCACCCAGUAGGUGCUAUUUGAUGCCACUUUACAAGCAAGGUGCAGAGUUCAAGUUACCUGCCGGAAGCCAACAAUGAGAAAGUUGCCAGAGCCUAGGAACUAUCCUCGUGCAAACUGGUUUAAACUCAUCCUCCUGGCCAGAGCACUGUGGCCUGUGGCAAUGGGGGGGAAGGAACUGGUCCCAGAUGUUUUCUGAUCAAUUCUGGUAAACAAAGGCUGCCUUUGACCACAUGGAAGGUACUUCCCAAGCCACUCCAAGCUUUAGUCGCUCUUCCCAGGGCAGGAAGCUGCACCCUGGGAGUCGCAGCACCCCACACUGGCUGCCAGAGCUCAGCUCUGGCUGGAUGCAGAGAAAAACUGUUGGUCCCUAGAGGUGUGGCAAGUGCUGAAGGCCUCUCUCUCCCACCUUGUCCUCACGGUCCAGUUUUCCCAGGAAUCCCUUGGAUGCUAAGAUGGGGAUUCCUGGAAAUACUGUUCUUGAGGUCAUGGCCUAACAGCUGGAGCUGCCUCCUUCCCACCCUGGCAUUUCCUGUCUGGGAUGCGGGAGGAGAAGGCGGUACACUGGAGGUAAGAGGCCUCGGGAGAUCCCUUCUGACCUUUGCAUUGCUUUUCUUUCCACUGUGCCCGUAUUUCAUAACAUCCCCGGGAGGCUGGAUGUGGGAACCUCAGAACCGCCUCACUCUUGAGAAACUUGUCCCAAGUCGCAGUGGUUGAAGCAGGACCUUGAGGCAGCCUUUCCUCCACUCGAACCCUCCGCGUUCCUUCCCUGCCGGAGGAAAGGAGGCGCCAUAGGUCCAUAUCCACAUUACUAGGAAAAUCAUACACAAAUUUAUUUCAAAAUUUUAUUAAAUCUGUUGUAUAAACUAACAGAUAAACCCUUCAUCUCGGUUGGAUUCAGAGCACAGCAGCCACAGGAAACAGCUUUCGAGGUAGAAAAAUACAAGUUUGUAGCGCCCCCCGGUGGUAUUUCUGCCCACUUCAGGAACAGUGCGAUUUCCCCAUACACUGCGCAGGAGCCUCUGCAGCCUGCCUUCCUGUUUCUACACACUUCUACCAAAAUUCUUUCUGCCCAGUCACUUUUGAGUGGACAUGCUUAAAACUUAUUAAUCUCCUGCCAGAGAUGCUUCUGCGUCUUACAGUUGGCUUUUCUUUAGGCCCAAACCAGGGCAAGUCCACCUAGACAGCAAAAGGCAGAGGAGAGAUAGAGUUCAAGUUCCAUGGCCCCUAGCAUUGAAUGUCUGAGCCAAAAGGAAAAGUAGGGCCAAGUACUCCUCCCUUAUAGCUCCCUGCUCCCCAACUCUUUAAUUUUCCUUAAAUUUCUGCUGUGCCAGUCCAGUCUAUACAGUGAGUUCCAGGACAGCCAGAGUUACAUAGUGCUUGCUACAUGUCUCUGCAUAGUAAGACCCUGUCUCAAAAAAAAAAAAACAAAAAAAAACUAGAGCCAGGUUGUCUGUAGAGUGAUUGCUUACAGUGUGUGAAUCCCUGGGUUCCAUGCCUAGCACUUGUGCAAAUCAGGUGUGGUGGUACAUGCCUGUAAUCCCAGCACACGGCAGGAAGAUCAAACAUGCACAGUCAUCCUUGGAUAAAUAGUGAGUUUGAGGCCAUUCUGGGCUUACAUGAGACCCUAUCUUGAGAGCAAAAACUAAAAAAUGAAAAAUAAAAAGGCCACCUUUCCAGUUGCAUGUAUGGAAUGGUGACUGGAUGGAUGUCAAAAUCCUUGAUGGAAUCCAGGUAUAAAACUAGAACUUGGGCUGGGAAGAUGAGAUGGCUUACCAUUAAAGCCCACCCAAAUCAAACCGGAACCCACGUGACAGAAGGAGAAAAGUGACUCCUGAAAAUUGUCCUCUAACCUCCAUGUGUCUGGCAUGCUGUGUGCUGCAAGCAUGCACACGCAUCAUAAAAAGAAAUAAGUGUGAAGGAAAAACUAGAACUUUGGGGGCUACGGGAUGGCCUAGUCAGUGAAGGUCUGGGUUCAGAUGCCCAGUGCCUAUGCAGAAAGCUAGCUGUAGGUAACAUUUUUUAAUUCCAGUGCUGGUGGGGAGAGAGACGGGAGGACCCUGGAAUUCUGCAGUCAGCCAGUCUGGCCAGAGUUGCUGAGCUCUGGGUUUAGUGAGAAAUACUAUCUCAAAAUCACAAGGUAGAGAGUGACAGAGGACAAUAACCUUGUGCACACAUUCACAC